GGGGGAUAGCCUCUCGAAAGAGAGAUUAAGCCCGCAUAAUAUGAAGACACAGCAUUGUGAUUUCAUCAAAUAUUUAUAGGAUAAGGAUGGGCAUGCGGAACAUUAGCUAGUUGGUAAGGUAAUGGCUUACCAAGGCUACGAUGUUUAGGGGAUCUGAGAGGAUGACCCCCCACACUGGUACUGAGACACGGACCAGACUCCUACGGGAGGCAGCAGUAAGGAAUAUUGGUCAAUGGGCGGAAGCCUGAACCAGCCAUGCCGCGUGCAGGAAGACGGCCCUACGGGUUGUAAACUGCUUUUGUACCGGAAUAAACCCUGAUUCGUGAAUCAGGCUGAAUGUACGGUAAGAAUAAGGAUCGGCUAACUCCGUGCCAGCAGCCGCGGUAAUACGGAGGAUCCAAGCGUUAUCCGGAUUUAUUGGGUUUAAAGGGUGCGUAGGCGGCCUGUUAAGUCAGGGGUGAAAGACGGUAGCUCAACUAUCGCAGUGCCCUUGAUACUGAUGGGCUUGAAUGUACUAGAGGUAGGCGGAAUGUGACAAGUAGCGGUGAAAUGCAUAGAUAUGUCACAGAACACCAAUUGCGAAGGCAGCUUACUAUGGUAUGAUUGACGCUGAGGCACGAAAGCGUGGGGAUCAAACAGGAUUAGAUACCCUGGUAGUCCACGCCCUAAACGAUGAAUACUCGAUGUUAGCGAUAUACAGUUAGCGUCAAAGCGAAAGCGUUAAGUAUUCCACCUGGGGAGUACGCCCGCAAGGGUGAAACUCAAAGGAAUUGACGGGGGCCCGCACAAGCGGAGGAGCAUGUGGUUUAAUUCGAUGAUACGCGAGGAACCUUACCCGGGCUUGAAAGUUAGUGAAUUGAGCAGAGACGCUCAAGUCCUUCGGGACACGAAACUAGGUGCUGCAUGGCUGUCGUCAGCUCGUGCCGUGAGGUGUUGGGUUAAGUCCCGCAACGAGCGCAACCCCUAUGUUUAGUUGCCAGCACGUUAAGGUGGGGACUCUAAACAGACUGCCUAUGCAAAUAGAGAGGAAGGAGGGGACGACGUCAAGUCAUCAUGGCCCUUACGUCCGGGGCUACACACGUGCUACAAUGGGCAGUACAGAGGGCAGCUACCUGGCAACAGGAUGCCAAUCUCAAAAAGCUGUUCACAGUUCGGAUCGGGGUCUGCAACUCGACCCCGUGAAGUUGGAUUCGCUAGUAAUCGCAGAUCAGCAAUGCUGCGGUGAAUACGUUCCC
rnacentral:rRNA from 1 species